UUCUCGAAUUUAAAAGAGUUAAUUAAUUAAAAAAUUUAUUGUAGCAAAAAUAUUUUUCAUAAUUAAUUAGAAAUGAAAUGUUAAUCGUUUUUAAAUAUAUCUAGUUUUUUUAGAAAAAAAUUUAAUUUUAAAUUAAAUUAAUUAAAAAAUUAAUUAAAAAAUUUUUUAAAAUUUAAAUUUAAUAUUUUAAGGGAUAAGCUUUAAUUUAAAAUAUUUAUAAUUAAAUAUUAAAUUUUUUGAAAAUUUUAAAAUUUAUAUUGUUUAAAAAUUAUAAUUUUUUAUAAAUAAUUUCAUAAAAAAUAAAAUUUAAUUUUAAUUUAAUUUUUUAUAAAAAAAUAAAAUUUAAAAAAAUAAUUUUAGUUAUAAUGAUAAAAUUAGUAUAUAAAUUUUAUUUAAUUAAUAUUAUAAAAUAUUUUUAAAUGAAAAAUUAAUUAUAAGGAAUUCGGCAAAAAUUUAUAUUCACUUGUUUAUCAAAAACAUGUCUUUUUGAGAUAAUUUAAAGUCUAAUCUGCCCACUGAUGAAAAUUGAAGGGCUGCAGUAUUUUGACUGUACAAAGGUAGCAUAAUCAUUAGUCUCUUAAUUGGUGACUUGUAUGAAAGAUUGGAUGAGAUAUAAGCUGUCUUAUUUUUAUUUAUAGAAUUUAAUUUUUU
rnacentral:rRNA from 1 species